AUUGACCAUCUGCACUUCUACCCUCCAUACGGCGAGACGUGCCUGCAUACAAUUUAUUUCUUUGGAGUAUUCUCUUAUAAAUCAUUGAAAAUGCCUUGCGGAGGUUGCGGCGAUAACUGCAAAUGCACCACUAGCCAGUGCUGCACUACAUGCAAGUGCGAUGCUUCCUGCUCUUGUAACUGCAAGAGGACCACCAGCGGUGACACUGGCGCUGCAACUACCAAGAAGUAGCUGUCAAGCCUCAUUAAAUACCCAUCAUUAAAUGUCAUUCAUCUUACAUCGUUCAUCAUUCAAUUUUCCUCGCAGCUUGAUAUCCGUUCCUCAUAUUUGGUUCAUACCAAAUAACUUUAUGGAAUUUAUAAAUGUUUUUCGAUACAUCGUAUUUUUAUUGUAAAGUACACAUAUUUGUUAUAUUCAGAGCAUUUCGAAUUUAAAAUAAACCGAAGUAUUGUCUACGAUUUUAAAGUACACAAUUAUGUCAAAUGCAUUUUUUAUUAUCAUUUGGUUAAACGACUGAUUCUGCAUUUCGUAAUUUAUAGAAUUUUCAUACAUAUGUUUGCAUAUGUUCUGUGUUAAGAACAAUAAAACCGUAAUUUCAUUGUGAUGUUUAUUCUCUUUGUUAACAUUUUACACAUAAAUAAAUAAUUGUAUCCGU